UUAACAUGGAUAAAGAAUAUCUUACUUAUGAAAAUUAUUGGAUAAUCAAAAACCGAAUUACGUUUGAUGUAUAUUCGUAAUGAUGUGUAGUAUGGGGCAUUAAGAAGAAAAAUCGGAGGGACAUACGUAGGACUUUUUCAAAUCCUACGUUGAAGUGGAUGGGACAUAUGUGGAGGAAGGAUGGGUGGACAAAACAUGCAAGAUUUGC